rnacentral:rRNA from 1 species
GUUGAACGCUGGCGGCAUGCCUUACACAUGCAAGUCGAACGGUAACGCGGGGCAGCCUGGCGACGAGUGGCGAACGGGUGAGUAAUGCAUCGGAACGUGCCCAGUAGUGGGGGAUAGAUCGGCGAAAGCCGGAUUAAUACCGCAUACGACCUACGGGUGAAAGCGGGGGACCGCAAGGUCUCGCGCUAUUGGAGCGGCCGAUGUGAGAUUGGGUUGUUGGGGGGGUAAAGGCCGACCAAGCCGACGAUCUGUAGCUGGUCUGAGAGGGCGACCAGCCACACGGGGACUGAGACACGGCCCAGACUCCUACGGGAGGCAGCAGUGGGGAAUUUUGGACAAUGGGGGCAACCCUGACCCAGCCAUGCCGCGUGCGGGAAGAAGGCCGUCGGGUUGUAACCCGCUUUUGUCAGAGAAGAACCGCUUCGAGCUAAUACCUCGAGGUAAUGACGGUACCUGAAGAAUAAGCACCGGCUAACUACGUGCCAGCCGCCGCAGUAACAC